CCCUGGCCAGGUGGUUCAGUUGGUCGAAGCAUGGCCCCAUACACCCAAAGGUUGCACGUUUGAUCCCCAGUCAGGACAUAUGCCUAGGUUGCAGGUUCAAUCUCCUGUUAGAGUGCCUAUGGGAAGGAGGUGAUCGAUCGAUGUUUCUCACAUCUCUUCCUCCCCCUUCCUCUCUUUCUGAAAUCAAUGAGCAUAUCCUUGUGUGAGGAUUAAAAUAUAUAUAAACACACACACACACACACACACAUUGCAGAUUGUUUACAAACAUACUUCACAAUCGAUUGCGGCAUACUGGCGGGUCACCAGCUUGCCAAGAUGAGAACAUCUGGUGUGUGUUAAGAUUAAAGAACAAGGGAUUUGAAAUCAGUUCUGUUUCCAAGUUUUGGCUUCUCACCUAUUAACAAGUUCAAUCCAAAUGAGGUAAUGCUCUCUCAAAAAAUUCUAAUUGAUAAUUCAAAUAACCAUAGUUCUGUAAGUCAGUAUUGGCACGUUUGUACCCACUGCCUUUUUUCCUGAGCCGAGUUUCACUGGAACACAGCCACGCUCGUUCACUUACAGAUCGUCUACGGCUGCUUUCAGGCUGCGGCAGCCGAGCUGAGUCCUUGCAAGUGUAUGGCCCACGAGGCCUGAAAUAUUUACUGUCUGGCCUUUUCCAGAAAAAGUUUGCUGGCCACUAUGUAAGUUUCCCUAUCUUUUAGAUUCAAAUCGAUAAUCCAAAGGGGCUCAGCAUGCCAAAUUACUGUUUCAGUCAUCAGAGGAAAAUUUGUUUUGUCUGUGGUAGGGUCUCUACAGUGUGACUUUGUACAAAUAGGAUAAAGAUGUUCCUUUAGACAGUGAUUUUAAUAGACUUCUAUAACAAAACUCUUACUGCCAUCUGCCACGAACGUACUUCAUUAAUAAACAAUCUGCAGCAUCUACAACAUGAAUUGCGCUCCCCUGCGCGGCCGUCUGCAGCAGCCCCCGGCUGGUAACGUGCUCUGAUGGAGAUGCUCUGUUUGGAGUCGGUGCACCGAGGGUCCGGUUCGUUCCGAAAGCUGCUGCUCUCAGGCAAACCGCGUUGUCUGUCUAGGCCUCAGUUUCCUUACCUCUAACAUGGAAUAGCUUAAAGUUGUUUUGAGAAAUUAAAUAAAAUAGCAGACAUAAUAUUACUCUGUAAAGGCUCAGAGCUCUACAAAAUCAACCUCCAGCCAUGUUUCAGACGCCUUCUGUAGACCCAGACCGUAGCAGGGCCUGAAGAGAAGGAAAUCAGUUUAAAGAGUUUACAGUCUCACUGGAGGCCGUGGACGUGGGAGCUGCGUUGAAAAGUUACAGUCGAACCUAAAAAGCUGAUACAUUGGCACUAGUCAGAGGGCUGGUGACACUGCUUUGCAUCUGCUGACCUCCUGCUGUAUGCCAGAUGUAGGACCAAGCCUUUAAUAGGCUUCACCUCACAUGUGUAAUCUUCACAUCAGCCAUGUGAAGUAGGUGGUAUUAUCCACAUCUUGCAAGGAAAAAUAAUAACUGGCAUUUAUUAUUCAUUUGCUAUGUUCCAGACACUGUUCUAAGUGCUUUCCAUAUUUUAACUCAUUUCAUCCUUGCAAAAUCCACUGAGAUAUAUAUUAUUUUUCCCAUCUUCCAUUCAAGGAAAUUACUCGGAGAUUAAAUUAGUGCUUUCCAAUCCUUUGCACAUGAGGGCACACGUAGAAAAUUCUAAUGUUUGUUUGGCAUUCUGAGGUAAAUUGGAGAGGGCUUGAGGCAUCUAUCUGGGGCCAUUAACUUGACUGAGAUGAUUCAGCGGAGGAUUAGGAGAGGUGAUGUGGUCCCCCCAGACUGAUGUGUAAAGUAUGCAACCAAAUAACAAUGACUGUGUUCGAGAAAUCUCACCGGGAGCCAUCCAAAUAGUAUUCAGAUGUGACUUCAACUAUUAUAAAAUGAAUAGUACAAUAAAUCGCUUUAAAAGUUUUAUUAUCCAAGAAUUUACAACCAACAGCAGCAUUUUGUGGUGCAGCUGCAGUCUAGUCCUGCCUGGCAAACUCUUGAGUUCAGUUGCCUGCAAGGCAAAUGGCUAAGAGGUGGUUGAAGAAAAUCAAGACUUGAACCCAGGUGUGUCUGACACAUAAAUCCAUCCUAGCCUCAUCCGGUCUUGCUCUCCUGCAGUGAACAGCCACACUAUGUGACACUUACUUCAUUUAAUCUUUAGAGUGUUUCAUGAUUUGAAGUUUGAUCGUCCAGGCUCACUCUCAGGGCGACCCUAUUAUUAACCAUAGUUUUUAAUUAACUUUGUUCCUUCACCCUGGUCUCCAAAAAUGUCAGAACUAGCACUCCAUACUCCUUUCUGUUCACUCUCAACCAACUUGCAUAGCAGGAAGUAGGUGGGCAGGUGAGACAUAAGGAUUCUGUGUGUUGACUGGAGCAGACUGCCCCUGCACUCUGCAGGUGCCUGCUGGGGCCCUCUCUGUGGGCCUCUGCUCGCCUGCCCCCACUGGAAGGUGACUGCUAACAGAACGUCCGUUCCCAGCUCAGCCUGCUGUGCUGACCUGGAGAUGCUAGAUUAUAAUAAACGGCUACUUAGGCUAUCACCCAGCCCCUAAAUGCAGAAGGAACUCAGGAUUUGCCUUCUGUGCUUCACAAGGUACCCUUCUGAGCAGAAACAAUAACCCUGCUGUGCUUCAGACCACCCACCAUCCCCAUGCAGGUGAAUAUCCUGCAACUGAAGUUGGAGAUAGAUGUAUAGACACAGAUGUUACAUGUGUGUUUUACAUAACCAAGUUUUAUUGUGUAAUUUCCAAGUCCACUGCAUUUGAAUUUCACACUCCAGGCUGCUGCAGGGUGGGGGAAGCUGAAGGAGGUAGAGGACAUGGGUGGUAUUCCUGGCUUUGCCUGGCAUGCUGCGUGGCUGGUGUGCGGGUGGUGAUGUGUGGCAGGACAUCUGGGGCAAGGGUAGUGGCCCAUUAAGGCUCCUGAGCUCUGAUUAGAGAGAUCUUAGAGCCAGCAGGGCUGUCAACACUCAGUUUCUUUUUGAUUAAGGUUCUGCCUCUUAACCCCUGGAGGCCACUUAUCUUUCCCACCUCUAAGAAAAGAGAGUUAAAGCCUCAGGUCAUUGCUUAAUAGAAGUCCCAGGAGCUGAUUGGGCCAGAAAGGGCCUCUGUCAGCGAUCAUUCCAUUAUCAGACUCCACGACUGACAGGUGAGCUCCUGUCCUGCGAGGUGCAGAGCUGCGACGCUGAAACAGCCCUCAGAGGAGCCGCGUCUCAAGGAAGAGCAAAGACGCUUGGUGGAAACCCAGUGGUGAGGUAGAGAGGUGGGGGGGAACUGAGAUUAUUAAUUAUUGUGGUCACUUGGGAUAUUUUUUUAAGCCCAUGCUGGAGGAUGUGUCUUCCCAAAUAAGAGUUCUGUUUUCUCAUUGUGAUUUGGUCUAGCUCAUCUCAAUAAGCUUUGGUCUAUAAGCUCCUCACUCAGCUGCAGCUUUUUAAAGACAAACAUUUUAUCUUAUAAUUGUAUUCCUGAUGUAGGCACAGUGGCGAGCACAUAGCAACUGCUUGACAUCUUCUGUGCUGAAGUAGGUUUAAUAAUGUAAUAUUUUUGGAUUUGCUUUGAAAUAAUAUGGGAGGAGGGGGGAGUUGGGUGCAAGUAAAAUGAAACCAGAUUGGCCGUAAGAUGAAAACUAAGCUGAAUGAUAUCUCAUGGAGGUUCUUUCAGUCUCUGUUCAAUAUUUUCCAUAAUAAAAAGCGUUUCUUAUCAAUAUUUUAAUUAAGUAUAAAAAAUGUUGAAAGUCGCAGUGAAGACUGGCCCAGAACUCUCCCGACAGCCUCAUUCCCCCCCCCCCGAGGCACACAGCUAGAUUUCACUCUGGGGUGGGGCCGGGGUAGGGCCGUGUGACUUCGGUUCUGACCAAUAGAACAGGGACAAAAGUGAUGUCAGUCUCUUCCAAGUGCGACCCUUAUUCUGCCUGAUUCUCUAAAUUGUCUCUCAUCCCUUGCCUCCUGGCUGGAUGCAAAAAUUAGUGAAGAGCUUAAAACUGCUAGGCAAUGCUGGAGCCUCUGGGAACGACCUCAGGGAGCAGAACCGCUUCCCCACACUCCGCUGAAACAGACUGUGGUAGAACUGAGGGAUAGGCCUUUAUUGCGCUGUCUUUUUUAAGUACAGUAUUGAAUCGCCCAUACUCUGGCAAACUAGGUUUUGAGCCUAUCUAGACACGAGAGCAUGGGAGGAGACUCUCAGUGGUUGCUCAACCGUUCAGGGCAUCCGAAGCUAUAAUUACGUGCCUCUGAAAAUGAUGAUAAUGUUGAUGAUAAUAAAGCUAACGUUUAUUGACUAA